CGCCUGUUUAUCAAAAACAUAGCGAUACGUUAUUAUGUAUGGUUAUACCUGCCUUGUGAUUAAUUUUAACGGCCGCUUUCGUGUUAAAGUAGCAUAAUAAUUUGUCUUUUUAUUGGGGACUGGAAUGAAUGGUAAAACGGAGUCAAGCUGUCUCUUUCAAUUUAGCUCAACUUUUUUUUAAGGUGAAAAAACUUUAAUGCUUUUUUAGGACGAGAAGACCCUGUAGAGUUUCAUAGAAAAGGAAAUUUAUUUCUUGAUCUAUUUUGUUGGGGCAACAAGAGAACAAUAAAAUUCUCUUUAUUAAUAGUUGGGUUACUAAUAAAGUUUAUUCUCGAAGAAAAUUAAGAUAAACUACCUCAGGGAUAACAGCGUAAUUCUCCCAGAGAGAUCUAAUCGAAGGGAGAGCUUGCGACCUCGAUGUUGGACUAAGGUUAAGAAAGGUGUAGGAGUCUUUCUGAUGAGCCUGUUCGGCUUAUAUUCCUUACAUGAUCUGAGUUCAGACCGGAAU
rnacentral:rRNA from 1 species